UAACGUGGGGCAAAAAGCCCUUCGGGGUAAAAGGCCUUUCUUAAUUUUUGUGCGAAUGGCUUAUUGGAUGAUUCAAAUUAAGACUUCCUGAGAUAGCUUACUUCCGUUCUUUUAAUGCACGUUGAGCUUGAUGUAGUAGCUUGUCAAUUUAUCGUCACAGAUCACUUUGAAUUUUUCUACCUAUCUCACUAUAAGAAAAUGUUAAGAAAUUACCAGAGAAAAACACAAGGCUCGUAUGGUCAACAUUCUUGACAGGAGCUUUAAAAGCUAUCGCUGAUGGGAUGCCACUUAACAAUGUCUCCGAAAAAAUUACAUUUAUAAUUAUUAAAUAUUUCACUUAUACUUUUUAAA